UCCAUCCACAAUCCCCUGUGACAGCAGCUUCCAGACACUUGCUGCUCUCUGUGUGAAGAACCGCUUUCUUUCAUCUAAGAGGUGAAUCUUCUUUAUGGCCCACCAGGUGCCUCCAUGUUCUCACAGUGCAGAAUGGGAGGAAAUGUCCUUAAGCUGUUGCAGAAGAGGAAUAUGCUGUACCAGCCCACCCACCAUACACGUCUGAUUUACAAAAGUACUUCAUCACUGAUCUAAUUUGAGUCCAUUUAAGGACUUCUUUGCUUGCAAUGUUUGUAUUUCACAUAUGAUGAAGAACUUCAAGGAAGAACUUUACCAUGACAGAGUACUGGAAUAGGCUGCCCAGAGAGGUUCUGGAGUCUCCUGCUCCGGAGAUAUUUAAGACCCAUCUGGACACUUUCCUGUGUAACCUGCUUUAGCAGGGCAUUGGACUAGAUGAUCUCCAGAGUCCCUUCCAGCCCCUACAUUUCUGUGAUUCUGUGAUAUCUGUGCACUUCUACAUGUGUAGGAUGAAUGAGAGCUCUGGAACAGGGCUGUAGUUCACCAGGAGAUGAGACAAGGCUAAGAUGAGAACAAAUAAAAUAGUAAGAGCAAUGCUAGUAAUGAGUUAAGAUAGAAAACUGGAAGACUGUGAACUUGUUGUUUGCUUGUGCUUAUGCUACAGUCUCUGAAACCACUCAAGACGUAUGAAAUGCGAAGCAAUAUGAAAGAAAUCUGUUUUUUUUGGUUCAUCCCAGAAAUUAUAAUUUCAAGAGAUAGUAGAAUUAAUUUAAUUUGUUUAUGUUGUGAAGAGCUUAGAAUAUAAUGGAAAUGUGAUUUUUUUAAAUUGCCAGGGGUGCAUGAGCAACUGCUAGCGUGAUGCCUGGUAAUGCACAUGGAGGAUCAGGGGGCAAAAUCCCAACCUUCAGCCUGGGAGGUCCUGAGGUAGCUGCCAGCACUGCAUGUAUGCUGCCCAUGGCAGCUCAGGACAGAACUCCUCCCCUGCUUCAUACGGAUCCUGCUUGCUUCCUUAGGAUGCCUUGGGGAACAGCCUGGCUCCUUGGCAUGGCAGCUGGAGCAUCCUCUUCUUGUUCUGUACCUGUAAAAUAAUUCAGGGCACCACCUGCAGAGAAUCACUGUACUGGGAAGGCAAUGAGGAGACUCUCCAUGGCCCUUUGCUGGAGGGCAGGAUUUGCCUCUGCAUUUCUCUCUGCUAUCAUCUAGCUAUAAAACACAGGAAAUAAUCUUUUCCUAUGUCAUAGGGAUACAGGCAGCUCAAUUAAAGUUUAUGAAGCGUGAUCUGAAAUCUUUAGAACUAGAGCAUUAUGGAUAUGCAAAGCAGGACUUUAAGUUAUUCAUUACCAUUUAUUAUACUUUGCAUCUAUUUUCUUUUUUUUCUAGAACAGAGGCUUGAUCAAGAAAUAUGCCUGACUUCCUGAGAAUUAACAUGAUUUUGAGGAGAAAUGUGGUAAUUGUUAUUUAUACAUUAUAGUCUCCCUAGCAUAUCAUUUCAUCCACAUAUCUAGAAUAAGUUACAUUGACUGGAUGGUAGGAUUGUGUGCUAGGAUUUCUUUCUAGUUCCAAAAAAAUUUGAUGCUCAUGUACACUUUUUCUAUUGAGAUAUGCUUAAAGGUAUUUUGUGACGUAACAUCUAUUUUUUCUAUUGACAGUGAUUUGUUUGUGGUCACAUAAAAUAUCUUCUAGAUUGGAUCUGAGAACGAACAUUAAGGAUUUGUUUACUAAUGAUUUAGGAAAGAAGAUUUACUCUGCUUUAAAGGCAGCUAGAGAGACUCAUUUGGUUGGAUUAUAGAUAGUAAGAAAGAAAUAAAACUCAAAGCCCAAUAUUUAAUACAUCAGUGUCACAAAAGAAAAAAGCGACUGACAAAACAGGAUGCAAUAACCAUAGGGCUACUGGUUGCCUGCUUAAAUGGUUGAGCUAAAAGAGUUGUAAACAGAGCCCACCUGUCCAUGCUUUGCUUUUCAGAAAGCCCAGAAAAGGAAGCUUUGAAUUUUGCCAGGUAAAAUGUUUUCUGCUUACUUGCCCGCUCUUUCUCAUCUCACUGAUUUGAGUAGUCCUGCCAAGUUUCAUGAAAACAGAAUCCUUAACUGUCUCCAGAUACUCUGCUGGAUCAUUUUAGCUCCAUUAUUUCAACGGAGCUGUAUAAUUUUGCAUUGGCAGAGCAUUGGUCUUCUGUAUUUAUGCUCACCAUUAAACCAGGAAAUCCUUAUCUAACAUAUCUGGUUGUGUAGCAGUUAUGACAUUAUUAAGAGCAGGUGAAGCAUCUCCAGCCUUCUCUCAUCCCCAAAUCGAAUCUGAGCUUUCUGGUUCAUUGUUUGUACAGAAUGUAAUGCUAAUGUUCUUUUUCUAACUUGAUUUGAGUUGCUAUCACGGCCCUGAAUCAGCUGUGGAGCCCCUGUAGCAAUGAACAAGGUAAAGUAUGUACCUGGACUAAAAAUAACAAGGUGAUACAUUGUGACCUAUCACAUGUUCUUUCUGUAUUUGUAUGAAACAAAAUGCAUUAGCAGUGAAUAGCACCUUACUAUGGAGCUCUUAAGAAUCGACAUAAAGCAUGUUUUGUUGGUGUUGUCACAGUAAGAACCGGGAUCACGACAACUUAUGUGAUAGCACAGCAGAAGCAGUAGAAACGUUCAGGAUCCUGCCUCAAAACUUGCUGGCAUUUACCUGAGAUAAAAUAACAUCUAUGUCUUGAAAAAAAAACCAUUUCAUUCUUCUUCUGCUUCACAUUGAUAAGUCCUGAUAAUGAAUGAAUAGCUGCUAUUUUAAUGAAACAUCAGGCAUUUACAGAAUCGGAGGACUGUGUUUAUAAUUACAUUAUAACCACAUUUUUUCAACCAUUUUUUCUUAGAUUUUGCAUCUAGAGAUGCCACACAAAGGAACUGCUAAAGGCACAUUGGUUGUAGGCUUAGUGCUGCCUCUUCAGCUUUCUGGCUUUUGAGCUGGGAUUUAAUCAUAAAGCUCCAGCUGAACUUUGUGGGCUAUGUACUUAAAAGAUGAUCAGGCACCUUUAAAUCACUUUAGCCCAUGGGCCCAAAGGAGAGAAAAGUCAGAUCGGGAGUGCAUACAGAUGCUCCAAAGCUUUUUCAUCCACAUGUGGGCAAACUUUUAUGCUGAAGCUAUAUUAAAUUGCUUAAGGCAAACAAAGCUACUUUGUUAGGUAUACUUUUAGGUAGUCUUAAAGUUUAUUUUUACUUGAUGAUGACAUUUGCAUUGGGAGUGAGGUACAAAGCCCACAAGGGCAGCAUCAAUAGAAUAGAUAUUGAAAAGAGAAAAAAAUCCAUUCUUUUAAAGUCUUCUAUACUUGUAGAUGCGAGACCUACUCCUGCAAUAAAUGAAAGGGUGAUAAGGAAAUGUGCUAGAGGAUGGUGAAAUGACAUAGGUCUGUGAAAUAUCAUACUCACUUCCCAAAUUUGUUUAAAAAAGAAAUAACAGAACACAUUACAAAAUAAAAAUGAAAAUCCCAGGAAAACAGUACAGUCAAAUUUGUUCUAGAGCAAGACCUCUCCCCUUCCUUUCCUCUGGAGUAGGGGGUUACAGGCAUGAUGGUGUAAAGCCACCCCUGCUAGACUUCAAACCUGCAAUCUACAAGUGCUCCUCAGGAAGGUCUGCAAGGAAUCUCAAGCACCAGGUGGUGUGCAGCCGACAUGGCAGGGACCAUCUGUAGGAUUGCCCAUGUCCUGGGCAGAAAGAGUCUCUCACAAGGAAAAGGUUUCAUGUGGUUACUGCCAUAUCCAAGUGGCAGCUCAUCAUCCCUCAAGUUUAGAUUGCUAUGGAUCAGGAGAGCUUAGAAAGGCCAAGGAGAGAACACAGCUAAACAUGACUGGAUUUCUUUACACCUUAGAGACUGUGUAACGCACAGCCAGGCAUGAAGUGCAAUUAAAUACUGUAGAAAUGCUUUUUUGGGGUGUUUGGGUUAGUGUGAAGUGACAAUGUGUCUUAACUUCAGCUGGAAUUAAAUUGUUUUCUUCAUAGUGUCUGGUAUGAUGCUAUGUUCCAGUUCUAGGAGAAAAACAAUGUUGAUAACACACUGAUAUUUAUAGCUGCUGUUAAGCAAUGCUGUACAGAGCCAAGGCCUCUCCCAGCGAAGGGCUCAAGGAGCUGUUGGGAACAGAAUUAGGACAGUUGACUUAGACUGGCCGAAAAGAUAUUCCAUACCAUAUGACAUCAUGAGAAAGGAAUUUUAAAUGGAAUGGAAGCUCAUUUCACUCUCUUCACUGCUCAAGGGGCAUGCCGGCCAUCAGCUGUUGGGUGGUGAGCCAUUGUUUGUGCAUCACUUGUUACAGACAAGUAUAUAUAUAUACAUAUACUUGACAGGAUAUAUAUAUACAUUAUAUAUAUAUAAGCACAUAUAUAUAGUUAUAACUAUUAUCCUUUUCUUUUUCUCUAUCUCAGCAAACAGUUUUAUCCCACAAGUUCUACGCUGUUUUCAGUUCUCUGCUCCAUCCCACUGUGAAGACGAGGAGUGAGGGAAUGACUGUGUGGUUCUGAGCCACCUGUGGGGUUAAACUGCAAAGCAAUGAUAGCUUGAGGGCAGCAGAAACCCCCACAGAGCUUGGCCAUGUCCUCACAUCACUCUUCAUUGCAGCAGCUACCUUUUCUCUCUGCAGAAAACCUCCAGAAGUCAGCUGUAACAUCUGCAGUUUUUCGAUCUCCUGAGAUGAGAGAGGGAUCCUGACUGAAGGACUUGCAGGAUGAAUGAAGAAAAGCUGUGUUUUGAUGUGUGACAUCCCAAAGAAUUGCUUAAGGCAGACGAGAAAGUUACCGCUACUUAAAGGAAGGAAUGCUGUCUGUAAGCAGGAUCUCUCAAAGCACAGAGCACAGCCUGGCUCCAACAAGCUGCCUUCUAAACAGGAGCUAUCCACACUGAUUUGGUAAUGAGGUGCUCAUCUCUACUGUCAUUAAAAUGUUUCCGUCUUUUUAAUUGGUUAAAGAAAAGUCUAUUGUUUAUUGUAAGGUAUUACAGAAAUUGUGUUUAAAGAAACGGAACAUGGCGUGUGCUACCAGUAAAUGUUACCUUGUACAAUUCAUAACCUGUAACUUGCAUUGUUGCAGCUUGUGGAGGAAUAUGAGAACUGCUUUUGGCAGAAAUAAACCAGUGCAGCUGGGAAGAGGCUGCUCCUGCUACAAGCCUGCACUGUGCCCAGCUGUGCAUCUUCAGCUCUCUAAUUCAAAGAUGGGUUAUAUAAGCUCUUGACCUGUGCUCAUUUGUAAAUAUUACAACUUGCUUCAAGUCACUAACUGCCCUGCUUGACUUCAAAAAUA